CUUUUUUGGCGGUCGGGCUCUCGAUGGUGGCAUCCCUGGCGCGAAGGUGGCACCAUGUAUCGCUUUCUGCUAGGGAACAAGUUAGUCUGCUCCUGCUGGUUGGGGGUUCGAGCUGCGGGGAGGAGGGGAUGAUGAUGUGUCUCUCUAGGAUCCUUUGUAGUCCGAGGGUCUGGUUUCAAGUGCUCCUACAAGGGUGAAGUGGGAAGACCCUGAUAAGCUCUGCCCUACUGCCACCCCCAUGCCUAAUACAUGACAAUAGAAAUCAAACCCUGGGCUGGUGAGAUGACUCAGCGGUAAGAGCACUGACUGCUCUUCCGAAGGUCGAGUUCAAAUCCCAGCAACCACAUGGUGGCUCACAACCACCAUAUAUCUGAAGCCUUCUUCUGGUGCGCCUGAGCAAGCAGGGACUGAGUGAGCAGCCGACCCAGAGUGAGAAGAGGUUCUAAAAAUUCAAUUUCCAACAGUCACAUGAACUCUCACAGCCAUCUGUACAGCCACAGUGUACUCACAUACAGAAGAUAAAUAAAUCUUAAAGAAAAAGAAACCAAAUCCCAGGGCUGGUGAGAUGGUUCAGUGGUUAAGAGCACUGACUGCUUUUCCAGAGGUCCAGAGUUCAAAUUCCAGCAACCACAUGGUGGCUCACAACCAUCCAUGAGAUCUGAUGCCCUCUUCUGAUGUGUCUGAAGACAGCUACAGUGUACUUAUAUAUAAUAAAUAAAUUUUUUAAAUCCCAACAUUUAAAUAA
rnacentral:lncRNA from 1 species